GAUGAACGUUGGCGGCGUGCCUAAUACAUGCAAGUCGAGCGAACGGACGAGAAGCUUGCUUCUCUGAUGUUAGCGGCGGACGGGUGAGUAACACGUGGAUAACCUACCUAUAAGACUGGGAUAACUUCGGGAAACCGGAGCUAAUACCGGAUAAUAUUUUGAACCGCAUGGUUCAAAAGUGAAAGACGGUCUUGCUGUCACUUAUAGAUGGAUCCGCGCUGCAUUAGCUAGUUGGUAAGGUAACGGCUUACCAAGGCAACGAUGCAUAGCCGACCUGAGAGGGUGAUCGGCCACACUGGAACUGAGACACGGUCCAGACUCCUACGGGAGGCAGCAGUAGGGAAUCUUCCGCAAUGGGCGAAAGCCUGACGGAGCAACGCCGCGUGAGUGAUGAAGGUCUUCGGAUCGUAAAACUCUGUUAUUAGGGAAGAACAUAUGUGUAAGUAACUGUGCACAUCUUGACGGUACCUAAUCAGAAAGCCACGGCUAACUACGUGCCAGCAGCCGCGGUAAUACGUAGGUGGCAAGCGUUAUCCGGAAUUAUUGGGCGUAAAGCGCGCGUAGGCGGUUUUUUAAGUCUGAUGUGAAAGCCCACGGCUCAACCGUGGAGGGUCAUUGGAAACUGGAAAACUUGAGUGCAGAAGAGGAAAGUGGAUUUCCAUGUGUAGCGGUGAAAUGCGCAGAGAUAUGGAGGAACACCAGUGGCGAAGGCGACUUUCUGGUCUGUAACUGACGCUGAUGUGCGAAAGCGUGGGGAUCAAACAGGAUUAGAUACCCUGGUAGUCCACGCCGUAAACGAUGAGUGCUAAGUGUUAGGGGGUUUCCGCCCCUUAGUGCUGCAGCUAACGCAUUAAGCACUCCGCCUGGGGAGUACGACCGCAAGGUUGAAACUCAAAGGAAUUGACGGGGACCCGCACAAGCGGUGGAGCAUGAGGUUUAAUUCGAAGCAACGCGAAGAACCUUACCAAAUCUUGACAUCCUUUGACAACUCUAGAGAUAGAGCCUUCCCCUUCGGGGGACAAAGUGACAGGUGGUGCAUGGUUGUCGUCAGCUCGUGUCGUGAGAUGUUGGGUUAAGUCCCGCAACGAGCGCAACCCUUAAGCUUAGUUGCCAUCAUUAAGUUGGGCACUCUAAGUUGACUGCCGGUGACAAACCGGAGGAAGGUGGGGAUGACGUCAAAUCAUCAUGCCCCUUAUGAUUUGGGCUACACACGUGCUACAAUGGACAAUACAAAGGGCAGCGAAACCGCGAGGUCAAGCAAAUCCCAUAAAGUUGUUCUCAGUUCGGAUUGUAGUCUGCAACUCGACUACAUGAAGCUGGAAUCGCUAGUAAUCGUAGAUCAGCAUGCUACGGUGAAUACGUUCCCGGGUCU
rnacentral:rRNA from 1 species